UACGUAGGUGGCAAGCGUUAUCCGGAUUUAUUGGGUGUAAAGGGCGUGUAGGCGGGAGCGCAAGCCAGAUGUGAAAACUCAGGGCUCAACCCUGAGCCUGCAUUUGAAACUGUGUUUCUUGAGUGCUGGAGAGGCAAUCGGAAUUCCGUGUGUAGCGGUGAAAUGCGUAGAUAUACGGAGGAACACCAGUGGCGAAGGCGGAUUGCUGGACAGUAACUGACGCUGAGGCGCGAAAGCGUGGGGAGCAAACAGG
rnacentral:rRNA from 1 species